GGGAGCAGUGCCGGGUGCAUUUUCAGGAAAUUGGGUUGCAUUCUCACUACAACAGAUGAACAUGUUACAGCUUCAAAAAGUGCAAGGCACAUCAUCUGAAAGGUUUGUAAAACGAUGCCUCUCGUGCACCCUGUCGGGAGGGCCCGGUCAGAGUCGUCAGACAUCUUGGAAAACGCUCAUCUGCACAAACUACCAGGGUGCGUUUUGGUUUUACUGUUAAAACUUCCUGGCAUGAGAGAGGAUGGAAUUAUGUCAUCACAUCUUUAUGUGCCGGGGUGUCACUGGCCAAGCUGAUUGAUUGGUACCUUUGAUCUGACAUCUGGGUUUAGUUGUGGACUGUCCAGAAGUUCCCUGAAUUUCCAUCCUUUCUGCCUCAUCUGAGACAGUACAAAACAUCUAUUAGCAAAGAUACUGGCAGGGCAGUGAGAGGAGGGAGUUCCUGGAAGAGCACUUGUCUGGCAUCUCAAACGUGUCCCUAUAAUCAAAAGCCUCUGAGUCAGGGUUGGGGGGUGCGGGGGUCUGCGUGGCCUGCUCGUCCGCCGCAGUGAGUCACUACGCCCCAAAGAGAAAAGGAGCCUUAAAACCUCGCUCUGAUCCCUGUAAAUGAUGGCAAUGGGACGUGUUGCACAAAGUACACUUAAUGAAAGGCAUUUCUAUUAUGCAAUACGUUACAAUACCCAGUCCCUAUAGCGUCUCACUUUACAGAUGGCAGGAGCUGAGUCUGAUUAAACCACAUUUUCUGAAUCAUUUACGCAGACAACUGAGAGGCAGGCAGAGGAACGGGGGAAUACGCAGCCCUGAGCUCCCUCUAGGUCUCUGCGAGUUUGCACUUCUCCGUUCACGACAUGCCUGCCUCGAUACGGCGUUUAGAAAUGAAUUAGCUGAAUUAGCUGGGGGAUCAGCUCCGAGGACCUGCUUGCUGUGUGACAACAGGGAUGGCAGUGCUGGCCUGCAAGAGAAAGGGCAGUCGUGAACUGGGGGGCUGUGAGAAGACAGCAGGUAAGAGCAAUUUGUGAGUGAUCCUCAGAAAGUUUGGUGACUCUUGUGCUGGCAGUUGAAGCU
rnacentral:lncRNA from 1 species